UAAGAUAUAGGGAUUCAAAGUCAUGAGAAUUUCAUGCUUGCAUGAUAAUUCACAUGACCUUGAAGACCGAACGAAGAUGAGGAAAAAAAGAUAUGCAAAGAAUGAGCAUAUCGAUUUCCGAAUAUUCGUAGCAUGACGAGAGCGAAGCGAAGUCAUGCUUAUAUCUUA
rnacentral:sRNA from 1 species